AUGUUCCAGCUUUCACCUCAUGAAAUAUUCGUACCAUUGAACUCAUAAACAUUCAUUAUUUGUAUAUUAUACUCAGACUUUGAUAUAUCUGACUUUUUUGUGCGUCGAGAGUUUCUGGGUUUUUGCGUACGUCGUGUUUUAACAGGAAAUUGACCCACAUCUUUGUACAUGAGGCCUCUGGUUUUCACUCUGCAGAUAUGGUGUGGAUUGGCAUGUGUGCAGGUCUGACAAAAGAGUUUGGAGCUAAAGAAUGAGGAACUAAACACUGAGACGUCAGUGUGUUUCACUGUGUUCACACCCUGUUUUCAACUCAGAGUUCUACAGUUGUCUAUUUAAAUUAAAUUUACUUGGGAGUUUCAGUGCUUAGAUUUGAGCCUUUUUAUUCAUUGUCCAGAUGAGUUGUUGAUGACUCAAAGACUAUUGUCGCCCAACUAGUCAAUUAAUAAUUUUAAUUUGUCAGUUCAGCUCCCCUCCUUUUGAAGUAAUUUCCUUGAUUAUCUGUUCAACUUUUCUGUUGUGGUCUGUCCCCUGUCUUUGUCUUAUGCCCUUAUGUCAGUUGUCAUUAUGGUCUGUCCCCUGUCUGUGUCUUACGCUCUUAUGUCACUUGUCAUUGUGGCCUGUCCCCUGUCUGUGUCUUAUGCCCUUAUGUCAGUUGUCACUGUGGCCUGUACCCUCUCUACGUCUUAUCUGUUAGUUGUGUUGUUUAGCAUGCUUUAGCCAUUUUUGAGUUCUACUUUAGUUUUCGGUUUUGGUCCUUUGUUUUCAGACUUUGUUACUUUGUGGUAUCUGUUGUAGUUUAGUAUUUAGUUAUGGCAUGUGUUUGUUUAUGUGUUUGUUUUUACUCACCACAGAGUUUGUUGCAAUUUGUGUCACUCUGUUAUUGUCAGCCAUGUGUGUGUGUGUGUGUGACCAAGUCUCACUCACAUCUGUCUCACAUUCCCAAUAACAUCACCUGUUGCCCGUCUACUCGUUUGUGUCCCUACUUAAGUUUGUCACAGUGUGGUCCUCAGUUGCUGGGUUUUUCUGGUUCAUUGUGUUCCUGUUAGGUUAGUUUUCCUGCAUUUGUUCUCAUGUACUUGCCCUGGUGUUGCCACUGACUCUCCUCCUCUGUCCUUGUUUGAACUGUUCCUCAGAAUCUUGCAAAUAAAUCAUUGCCUUUUUUACCAACACUUGUUUGGUCUAUCUCUGCAUUUUUAGGUUAAAUCCUGCCACACACUAACAUUACGAUGUCUUGAAAUGCAGCAAAACUGGUUCAUUGUCAUCAUUAUGUAAGCAACAAUUGGUUUCCUGUUUUUAUACAUCACAGUCUUUAAACAGCUGCUAGAAUAACACAUCAGAUCAGACUAAGAACCAUAAACUUCAUCCCUGGAUGUGAAUCUGAUCACCAACUCCUCAUCAUGAAGCCGGUUCUGACUAUGACACUCAUCUGGACCGUCUCCAGCAUAGCUGAAGCACUUCGGUGUUUCUGGUGUGAAGGUUCAAGUUCAUGUACAAACUCAUCCCUUCACACAUGUACUAAUAAAGAGCUGAUGUGUGUGUCACCGUCUAUAUCAGGUAACUUCUCUCCCAGUGUAAUACUGGGUAAGAUGUUUGCAGUGCAGUCUGCAGUAAAGCAACAGUUACUUCAUCAGAUGAAGGUGAGGUGUAACACUUGCUUUAAGAAGGAAUGUCAGCUGCAACCUUUUGGCCAUGAGUUACAUUUCUCUGUGCAUGAUCCAGCACACAGGUGCUUCAGUGAUGAGGACCCCGGUGGCGGGAGAAAGCCAAGGACCUUCCCAGCUUUCACCUGGCUGCAGCAGAUAGUUGGCUAGCUGGUUUGGAGUGAAUGGGCCAUUUGUCUGCAUGUGUGGUUGCCAUCCAGGAUCAAAGGCUGUUCCAUGGUGUGGUGGAUAUAGCAACACAUGAUGCCAGUGCAUGCUCCCAGACCUGACUUGACUCAAAUGUUUUCAGUCACCUUAACAAAUGUCUCAUUGAUUUUCUAGUAAAUUUCAGUUCAUCAGCAUUUGUCAGCCAACAGUUCUUCAGGGCAUGUGCCCCUCACAGCCUGUGAAUCGACACACAUAUCAGCUGAGUGCUGCAACUCAGAUAACUGCAACAACAAGACUCUGCCUGUUCCCAUCGCUCCUGCAAAUGUCACCAACAGUCUGCAGUGUUUCACUUGUGACCCAGUAACAUCUCAGUGCAACAUUCCAAUACAAUGUGAAGGAGUGGAGGACCACUGUGUCCAAAUCAAAGUGUCAAAUACAAAUGUGGGAGUCAACAGGUCCAUCUUUGGCUGUGCCUCUUCAAACGUCUGCACAGCUUUGGGAAUUAGUUUAAUGCAACUUCCUGCAGGCGUUGUGAACGUCACCAGUGGACCCAUCUGCUGCUCGGGCAGUUCAUGUAAUUCUGCAACAACUUCCAGUCACUCCUGUUUCACACUGAGCCUGAUGCUUGGACUCUUAUUUUUUCCAUUUUUGAGGAUUUUCCAUCUUUCAAGAAUCUGAACUUUUUUCCAUCUGUCAUUUGUGCAAAUUGAUUUGGUGUUUUAACCACAUGUGUAUUUAUGUUGUAUUGACCUUAAUUAAUCGUUCAUUCCACAUUUGUGGAUAUUGUGUGGUUUAUAUGACUGAAUCUGACUUGCUGAGAAUCUACAAAGCAUCACGGACCAUAUUCACAAAGCAUCCUAAGGCUCAAAGUAGCUCUUAACCCCUUAACGCUCAUUGUCGCAUAUAUGCUACAAUAUUUGACUCAAAUAUGUAACAUACCAAAUUGACCAGUAUUUGCAACAU